rnacentral:rRNA from 1 species
UACGUAGGGUGCAAGCGUUGUCCGGAAUUAUUGGGCGUAAAGAGCUCGUAGGCGGUCUGUCGCGUCGGCUGUGAAAACUCGGGGCUCAACUCCGAGCUUGCAGUCGAUACGGGCAGGCUAGAGUUCGGCAGGGGAGACUGGAAUUCCUGGUGUAGCGGUGAAAUGCGCAGAUAUCAGGAGGAACACCUGCGGUGUAGACGGCUUUCUGGACCAUUGCUGACGCUGAGACACGAAAGCGUGGGUAGCAAACAGG